UGUAAUAAGAAAUCUUAGGUGCUGGCUUAUUAAGUCCAGGAGCAAUCACUACAGAAUGUCCGGUCAGGACAAGGAUGAGGCAGAUGUUCAGCUUAAGUCAUGCUUCAGGAAACAGCAGAGGGAGCACCCCCCUAUCCACAUCGAUGGGACCGCAGUGGAGAAGGUGGAAAGCUUCAAGUUCCUCGGUGUACACAUCACUGACAAAUUGAAAUGGUUCACCCACACAGACAGUGUGGUGAAGAAGGCGCAACAGCGCCUCUUCAACCUCGGGAGGCUGAAGAAAUUUGGCCUGGCACCUAAAACCCUUACACAUCCUACAGAUGCACAUUUGAGAGCAUCCUGUCGGGAUGUAUCACUGCCUGGUACGGCAACUGCACCGCCUGCAACCGCAGGGCUCUGCAGAGGAUGGUGCGGUCUGCCCAACACAUCACCGUGGGCAAACUACCUGCCCACCAGGACACCUUCAGCACCUGAUGUCACAGAAAGGCCAAAAAGAUCAUCAAGGACAACAACCACCCGAGCCACUGCCUGUUCACCCCACUAUCCUCCAGAAGGCGAGGUCAGUACAGGUACAUCAAAGCUGGGACCGAGAGACUGAAAAACAGCUUCUAUCUCAAGGCCAUCAGACUGCUAAAUAGCCAUCACUAGCACAUUAGAGGCUGCUGCCCUAUAUACAUAGACUUGAAUUCACUGGCCACUUUCAUAAUGGAACUCUAGUCACUUUAAUAAUGUUUUGCAUUACUCAUCUUAGAUGUAUAUACUGUAUUCUAUGCUAUUCUACUGUAUCUUAGUCUAUGGCACUCUGACAUUGCUCGUCCAAAUAUUUAUAUAUUCUUAAUUCCUUUACUUUAGAUUUGUGUGUAUUGUGUGUAGUGUGAAUUGUUAGAUAUUACUUGUUAGAUAUUACUGCACUGUUGGAGCUAGAAACACAAGCAUUUCGCUACACCCACAGUAACAUCUGCUAAACAUGUGUUUGUAACAAAAAAAAGUGAUUUGAUUUAAAAUGUCAUGCAUUCCAAUGCAAAAUGCUAACGGUAGUGCUAACGCUAGCGGGAGCACGAGCUAGCUCACAAGCUCAACACACAGUAAAUUAUAAACAAGAAGGCCACAAUAUCUCAAAUCCUCCUACAGUGUCACAUGCCGGUAAGAGCACAUUAUGAGGUUUCCAUUGCCAAAUAACACUUAAAAUUUAAGAGAUGCGCUCUAUUUAAAAUUAUAAACUGGGUGGUUUGAGCCCUGAAUGCUGAUUGGUUGACAGCCGUGGUAUAUCAG
rnacentral:lncRNA from 1 species